rnacentral:misc_RNA from 1 species
UCACCCCUCAAGCCCUCGGCUUGGUGUUGGACGGUUUGGUGGAGGCCCCCUCGGGGGCUCCUGCCCCUCCCAAAGACAAUGACGGCGGCCUCGUUGGACCCCCGGUACACUGAGUUCUUCACGGGACACGUAUCGGACACAUGGGUUUACGGGACACGGUCUGCCUCCCCUCAGGGAGAAUCUUUCUUUCUAA